CCUGUAGUAAUGUUUGUUCCUAACCAGGCACCUGUGUCGACCCUGUCAUAACCGUGAGAAGGCUAGAGGUCUGGGGAAGUACAUCUGUCAGAAAUGCCAUGCCAUCAUCGAGGACAGCCCCCUCAUCUUUAAGAACGACCCCUACCACCCCGACCACUUCAACUGCAACAACUGUGGUAAGGAGCUGACAGCAGAUGCCAGGGAGCUGAAGGGAGAGCUGUACUGUCUGCCCUGCCAUGAUAAGAUGGGGGUGCCGAUCUGUGGCGCCUGCAGGAGGCCCAUCGAGGGACGCGUGGUCAACGCCAUGGGCAAGCAGUGGCACGUCGAGCACUUUGGGUGUAGUGUAUGUGAGCGAUCG